rnacentral:lncRNA from 1 species
UCUAAAUUUUGCUGAAAACAAAAUGAACGAAUGAAUGUAUAUGAUCCUUACAGGCUGACAACCAGGGCUACAGGCCUAAAGCUCACAAGCAACAAGUGUUGGCUGGACACAGUAGGGAUUCACCACCUCACAUCUCCAUGUCAUUCUAAGUCGUUUUUUAACGAAGUAAAAUCUAUCAUUUUUAACGCACAAAAUGAAAGCUAUGCACACUUCUGAGCUGACUUUAUCAGAAAGUCAUGAAAAACGAGACCAGAAAGAAGUACACACAGAAGCUACAACUGAAAAAGAUAAAAAGCAUCAGUCAAGAUGGUGAAAAGAAUCAUUAGCUCGCCAGGAAAGACACGCAACCAUUGCAUGUGGUAUUGGCAGGAGAGCCUCUCCACGUCAGCGCUCCGUGGACGUGUGGCCUCGCCUUGGCACUCAGGCUGUGGCACAGGCAGGCAUCUCAGUCCCACCCAUCCAGGGAGCACUCCAACCUGGCUGACCUCAAGGGCGGGGGCCAUCUGGGCAUCAGCCGUGGCCUGUGAGCCAAACGGUCACUGGCCCUGAUCAUCAAACUGACGUCCUGCAAACCCACCCAGCCACCCCCGCGGUUACCUGUGAAUGAUGCCCUUGCCGUGCAAGUACUCUAAAGCAGACACAAUCUCAGCCGUGUAAAAUCGGGUACAGGUCUCAUCGAAUGAACCGAUUUUGCGAAUAUAUUUAAGUAGUUCUCCAUUUUUGGCAUAACUAAGGCCGAAAUCUGAAUAUCGUGCAGUUAAGGAAGUGUAAAAAUCUCUUGUUUCGUUUUGGAGCAGGUUUACUCCGUUGCCCAGACUGGAGUGCAGGGGCACAAUCAUAGCUCACUGCAGCCUCAACCUCCCUGGCUCAAGCGAUCCUCCCACCUUAACCAACCCAAGUGGCUGGGAACGUAGGUACGCGCUACCACGCCUGGCUCAUGAGAAGCCACAGCAAACCCCACGUUCCCCGCCACAAAGAGAAGGAAGUCCAGAGUCAGUGCCAGGCUGCCACGGCUCAGGGGCCCAGCCCACCACAGCCUUUCAUGCCCCCCCACACACUCCUGCCCAGGAGCUGAAAGAGCCCCACACUGCCGCCAGCCCCUACCCAGCCCUAAGACUCUUGGCAGCGCAUCUUGCUGCCGGGAAGCCUCUGACACGGAUCGUCAGUGCACGUCCAGCUCCUCCACCAAAAUCGAAGCUUCUCGUGGGCAGAGACGCCACCCGGCAUAGCAGCGCAUCCCCAUCACCCAUCAACCUGCACUUGGCAAGCACCUCCAAACAGAGAGAGCACACACACUCCGCCGGCAGCCGAAGGAGCUGCAGGAUGGUGCUGAGAGUGGGAGCAGGCCAGAACGAAGCUCUAACACAGAAGAGCCGGGUGCUGGGGAGAGACGGGGAGGACAGGUGGGAGGACUCAGGCCCCUCCCCAGGCAGGAUGGGGAGGCCACGACACUUGGGCCAGCUUGGAGGGUGGCGGGGGAGGAGAAGAGCAGAUGCAGACUGCACCUGCUGGGGGUGACGACGGUGUGGCGUGGCCAGCCCAGCCACUGGCAGGCCCACAGGUCAGCUGGAUGGGGCAGAGGUGGGGCCCACCCCAACUUCCACCGGGCCUUGCCUCCCAGAUUCCUGAGCCAAGGUUUAAUAACAGAAAAGAUGGCGCUCUAGGGGAGCAAGGGACGCCGACCAAGCAAGCCGCAGCAGAGAGGACUGUGCUGGAGCCACAUCGGUGGCUUCUCCGGGAGGUAACGUCCUGUGCAGACUCCCAGCCACACCCUGGCGCUGCCUCGGCUGCCUCCCUGAAUGUCAGCGGCCUGAGGGACCCCACUCGGCAGGGAGCGGGGGCUGCUUGUGGGAACACACAGGGUCUGAUUCCAAGUGAGAGGGGUGACUGGUGUGGCUUCAGACGGCACCAACCACGCAAAGGAUACACAGCUUCUCGUCGUCCUGAAAUGUGAAGUAAAGCUUAACAAAGAAGGGGUGAUCCAGGCGCGACAUGACAUCCCGCUCUCUGGUUACAUAGGGGACCUUGUUCUCUUUUAUGAUAUGUCGCUUCUCCAGAAUUUUAACUUCAGGUGAGAGAGAAGUGAGUUACUAUCAGAAACAACAAAAAACACUAAAGACAUGACUCACAAAGGUAACUGGUACAAAUUAAAGUCUUUCAAACAUUGUACACAACAGCCUGGUGGUCUCUAAAGCCAACAGUGUCCUGUACCCUGAAAUCAGCACAGAAACACCGGCCCUGCCACCCCAGCCGCCCUGCACGGAGCCGCUUGCCCUGCUCCCGGACGCACAGCUCCCUGCAGCCCAUACUCACUCGCAUAUUCUCUGGAGGUUGCCAGUUCUCGAGCCAGGACAACCUGGUUGGGAAAGAAAAGGAGAAAAAGAAACACACAAUGUAAUAACCAGGACACUGGGCCUGACGAGUCCCUCUGCCCCACACGCACGCUUCCUGUCCCCACUGAAGGCUUGAGUCUACAGUGAAAUAUUUUGGGUCUUGUACUGACAAGUAGAGCUAAAAGCCAAUGCUCGUGUUGAUGUGUUCUAACAGCUAAGAGAAAACAUAUCCAUCUCUCUGUUGUUUCCAGAAGCUUCUGGAUCAGCUGCUAACAGCCCUAACGGUGCAACACAAGUACAAACUCAGGAACCUCUUCGACUGCCACGCCCUUCACCAACAGAAGGAAGACAGUGGCGCCACCACAAGUGGCAGGGCACAGGGGCUUCUGUGACAACAAUAUGUCCUUCUAGUAUACAUUCAUUGCAAAGGCUGCCCUGAAGUUUCGUUUUUGGAAAUAACUGUUAUCAUACAUUUUGUAUGAUGUUGCUUGUGGGCACCAUGAAGAGAGCCUGGCUGUAAAGGACAGAGGGAGCUAAACCAGCAAUGCAUGGCCCUGCGUGCCCACAAGAGGGAGCCACCUGCCCGGGAUGCAGCAGGCCUCCUGCCCUGUCCUCUCAGCACCCCUGAGCCCUGCACUCAAACCCCACCUCCGAGACAGAGCACUCCAGCAGGGCAGGCAUCCCAAACAGGGGAGAGACCCUCCACUCGGACUAGCCUGGGGCACACCCUGAGGCACCAGACUGGAGAUUCCUGGUGGGCCCACGGUUUAGCCAGAGAGCAUGAGGCAGCUGUGCCAGGGAGGCCCCACCACCACCAAGUGGGACACAAGUGUCUCCUAAGACACCCACAGGGGGACGGCCUGAGGAGCAGGGAGCAGAGGAAACCUGUCCCGUGACAUUCCUGGGGGCUGGCAGGAAGACCUUCAGGAGGCCACAGGGCCAGGUCCACCUGGCCCCGGGCUGUGAGCCGCAAUCGGGGCAGGACUCCUGAUGGGACACGUCAGAAGAGAUCCUGGAAAGCACCAUGUGAGACGCCUUGUGGCACUCAAGAAGAAUGAAGUUGGAUUCUGGGGACUCUACAUACUCAAGGUCUUCCCAGAGGAAUACGCCACGCAUGGAUGGCUCUCAGCUGCCAGGGAGAAAGGGGAAGUGGGCCGGGCAGGGCUCCCCUCUCUAGCUCAUGUGUUUCUGUGAGGUCACGUUUCUCCACAAGAGCACGUGCUAGCUUCAUAAGUAGAAAAGAGGAAGAAAGAAUUGUGAACGAGCACCGAUAUUUAGUGGAACCCUUUCUAAGGGGAUACUGAUGUGAUCUUUCCGUUGUCUAAACUCAACACUUCACAAGCAGGUUUCCUACAAGAAGGAAGGAUCCUCUUCCAGAGAAUGGCGCGUGACGUGUCCCUCCCUGGAGGUUGUGACCGUCCUCAGGGGGCCUCCCGGCUCUCCGGUGCUGCAGCUGGCUCUUGCCCAGCCUCCUAUCACUGUCCUUUCCCCCUCCCCUGGAAAUCAACUUUUAUGUGAUCUCCAUUUCAGGAAAGCUGAGAAAGAACUGAGGGUAACACAUGUAAUCUGAGACCCAGUACUGUGGAUUCCAAACAGCCCCAUGGAGGAGCCUCCGGCUCACCGUGCUCUCCCGGGCACCUCCCUGGUGCAGGUUCAGAAAGACACGGACCACAGCCCCUGGAGGGACAGUGCCUGCUCUCCACCCAUCUCCAGAACCCAGGGAAACAGGCAAUUUCACAGAUGAGUCUUCCUUUUUCAGUCAAGAUAAAUGUUAAGGGCCAUGUAUGGUGGCACAUGCCUGUGGUCCCAGCUACUCAGGAGGCUAAGGCAGGAGGAUCGCUUAAGCCCAGGUGGUGAAGGCUGCAGUGAGCUAUGAUCACACCGCUGCACUCCAGCCUAGGUGACAGAGCAAGACUCUGUUUCUAAAAGGAUAAAUACAUACAUAAUAAAAUAAAGUUAAAUUAAAAAGAGACAUACAAGGAAGUAAAACUGAGGCCAAGCACAGUGGCUCACGCCUGUAAUCCCAACACUUUGCAAGGCUGAGGAGAGAAUCACUCGAGCCUAGGAGUUCAAGACCAGUCUGGGCAACAAAGUGAGACCCUGUCUCUACAAAAAAUUUUACAAUUAGCUGGGCACGGUGGUGCAUUCCUGUAACUGCAGCUACUUGGGAGGCUGAGGUAAGAGGAUCACUUGAGCCCAGGAAGUCGAGGCUGCAGUGAGCUAUGAUCAUGCCACUGCACUCAAGCCUGGGUGACAGAGCAAGACUCUGUCUCAAAAAACAGGUAAAGCUGAGAAAAGAGGAGGCCUGUUCUUUCACUGGGUGGUUGUAAGCAGCCAUGCAGAAUGCCCAAGGUUUUCCAAAGAGUUUCUUCUUUCUGAAAGGAUCUGAGUCCCCAAAACUUUGGGGACUAGUCUCAUGGUUGAAGGCAUUUUUCAUGAGGGCAUAAUCCUUUUAUAAAAAAAUUAUUUCAUAAAACCUGCAAUUUAAAAAAUCUAAAGUGUAAGGGCAGCAAAAGUUAACAUUAAUUAAAACAAUAUGUUGGGAAUAUGGGUAAGCUAUAUUUCAUGUUUUUCUUUGCAUUGUGAAAUAUUUCCUAUGUGUAAAAAAGAGAAAAAAGGAAAAUAAACCUCACCUACGGUUUCUUCACAAAGGUCAGGCAAGAAAGAAUUAUUCAGGAACUCACCCAGGCCCUCCAGAGUGAGGUGCCCCCAGGGCUCCCUGGAAUGGCCCUAGCACGCACACGGCGGCCACCUUGGCGACCACAGUGGCGGCACGGGACUCUGUCUCUUUAGAGGCCCAGAUGGAGACAGUACACCCCGAGUUGCUCAGGCCUCCCCUGAACCUGUUACAACCUUCACUAAAUCCACAACCACACACGGCUUCAUGGGUCCCACGUCAGCAAAACGUCCCAUGUCAGCUGCUUUCGACCUUCAUUUCUUUGCUUUCAGAGGAAAAAACACCCCGAAGACAGGUAACAAGUGUGACUUGACAGUACUGCGACAAUACUCCUGUUUGUGAAACUCGGAACACAAGACUCUGGAGGCUGUGUCUCCAGCAAAUGUCCAGAGCGUACUGUUUUAUGUAUUCAAAAAAACAAAACAGAGAAAUAAGAAGAGGUCAAUAAAUGUCCCCAAAAACCCUGGAGAGAUACUAACUUUCAAUCUAAGAAAAAGAACAGCUUCCCAGGGCCCUGCCAGUGAGACACAAGGACACAGAAUGUAACUUGCUGAUGCCAGGUUAAAAUGAAAUUAACUACAUCAGAAAAAACCUCCGCAGACCAUCAAGAGAUGUGUCUAACGUUCUCAUCUACAAAACCAGGUUAAAUAUUUAGCCACACUCAUCACGUCAUCUGCUUGGGGGGUACCCAGCCCCCAAAGACUCAAGUGGCCUUCACAACAGGUGACACCCCUCAAGGGGCCUGAGACCUCCUGCCUGGAAGGACACCAGCCUUGCUUGGAGUCUCCGGCAAGCCCCGAGGAAGGUGAGCCUCCCCAAGGAAAUCACGUACGUUUGACACACAGCAGCAGCAAAUACUCACCGUGGAAAAAGAGCCUUCCCCAAGGAUUUUCCCAAACUUGAAGUCCUCAGGCCGCUUCUUCCGAGGCUGCGGCGGAGGCUGGGCAUGCUGCAGGGAGCCGGCGCCGGGCCGAGGCUCGGCUGCAGUGCCGUCCAUGGCGGGGCCCUGCCUGCUGCCACCAGGAAUGCCAGGGGGCGUGCUGGACUCAGUCUGGGUCCUCACCAUUGAUGGGGAUGGGCAGGAACAUAACACCACGCUGGACUGGAUGGGCACGGCGUCAUACUAGGCGACAAAGAGGAAAAGGAAGUAAGGCUCAAGGCAGCUGCCUUGCUCUCAAUGCACGGACUAAGGUUUAAGGACCUCAUUUCAACGCUCAAAAACAAACCCCAAGCACAGGGCAGGCCAGCUGAGCCCCGCGGUCUGCUGUGAGCUGCCGGCCUCCUCUCCUGAGUCCUGCCCGUGCCAUGGCUCCCCGCUAAUCCACCAGGCAGCGCCUCGCCCUCCUCCUGUCCCUCGCGCUGCCUGAGCCUCCAGCCAACUCAUCCCAAGGCCAAGGUAACCUGAGCAGAGAUAGCACGGCACAUCUUUAAUUGUGGGGGGGAUGGAGAGAUAAGAGUGAUGAUCGCAUGUGUUUACAAUACACAGAGACGCCCAGUGCUGGCAAGACUAUAAUAAAGCGAGCGCACUCACACCACUGCGGCUGGCACCAAAAACCGGGAUUGCAGUGGAAAUGUUUUUGGAAAGCAGUUUGGCAACUGUCAACAAAGCGACUACAGAACAGUUGUCAAUGAGACACAGAAAUACGAAGGAGAGGAGGGAGGGCAGAAACCCAGUUAACAAUGUAAGCGGGCACGGAGGGAAGAUCAGCGUGCAAAGCUAGGUCGGCAAGACGUGCAAGGUGCACCCACAGCCAUAACAAUCCCUCCCCAGACCCCAACGUGUCCUCACGGUGGUGGCAGUGGCCCCCCGCACUACAGAAGAACAAUGCGAGGCGAGCUCAGGCGCGCUGAUGGUGGUUUCCGAUACAACUCCCCACUCAAAGAACCCCGGAGAGCUCUUGAUUCCAUCUCUCAGUAGGGUCCUGAAGUCCAUGCUGUCUGAAGACACAGGGUCUCCCCCUGCGUCUGUGCCAGGACAGAGGGACUGCCACCAGCCAAGCUGCAAUCCUUUUAAACGCUAAAAACGGCCGGGCUUGGUGGCUCAUGCCUGUAGUCCCAGCAGUUUGGGUGGAUGAGGCGGGUGGAUCCCCUGCGGUCGGGAGUUCAAGAUCAGCCUGACCAACACGAAUAAACCCCUUCUCUACUAAAAAUACAAAAUUAGGCCGGGCACAGUGGCUCAGGCCUGUAAUCCCAGCACUUUGGGAGGCAGAGGCGGGAGGAUCACCUGAGGUCAGGAGUUCGAGACCAGCCUGACCACAUGGAGAAAUCCCGUCUCUACUAAAAAUACAAAAAAACUAGCCGGGCUUGUUGGCGCAUGCCUGUAAUGCCAGCUACUUGGGAGGCUGAGGCAGGAGAAUCGCUUCAACCUGCAAGGCAGAGGUUGCAGUGAGCUGAUAGCAUGCCAUUGCACUCCAGCCUAGGCAACAAGAGUGAAAUUUCGUCUCAAAAAAAAAAAAAAAAAAAAAAAAUAGGCCGGGCGCAGAGGCCAAAGUGGGUGGAUCACUUCAGCCCAUGAGUUCAAGACCAGCCUGGGCAAACACAGCAAAACCUCACCUCUACUAAAAAUAUAAAAAUUAACCAGGUACGGUGGCAUGUGCCUGUCGUCGCAGUUAAUUGGGAGGCUGAGGUAGGAGGAUUACCUAAGCCCGGGGAGGUCGAGGCUGCAAUGAGCCAAGAUCACAUCACUGCACUCCAGCCUGGACGACAGAGGGAGAUCCUGCCUCAAAAAUAAAAAAUAAUAAGUAAAUAAAUAAAAAGAAUAUAUUCACUAUUUUGCUUAUCAAAGUCUCUUAAAGGAGGUGACUUACCUACGCUAUGGACCCAAUUACUCAGCCAAUAAGAGGACACGGUCCCUGCCCAUAGAAAGCUGAUGUCCAGCCUGACCUCAAUACAAAACCAUCCAGUUAAAGUGGUGGGGGUGGCUAUGCAGAGACGGGCGGGUGCCGGGAGAGUCAAGGGCAGCCCCUUGGCUGGCCAGGGGCUCAGACAGACCAGCUGGGGAGAUGCAUCACUCGCCCAGGAAAACUGAUGACAGCUUAGAUGGCACUGCAAGAGCAGGGAGGAUCACACUCAUGUCCAGAAAGUGAAACAUAAAACAGCUAAACAUGUACCACACAGCUUUCAUACAAAAAUUUUAUAUACACAAAUUUUGAAAAAAUAGAGAUGGGGUUUUGCUUGUUGUCCCGGCUGGUUUCGAACUCCUGAACUCAAGUGAUCUGCCUGCCUCAGCUUCCCAAAGUGAUGCAAUUACAGGCAUGUGCCACCAUGCCUGGUGACUUUUUUUCUGUUUUGAGACGGGGUCUCACUCUGUCUCCCAGGCUGGAGUUCAGUGGCAUGAUCAUAGCUCACUGCAGUCUCGACCUCCUAGGCUCAAGUGAUCCUCCCACCUCAGCCUCCUGAGUAGUGGGACCACAGGUGUGCACCACCGUGUCCAGCUAAUUUUUGUAGAGAUGGGGUCUCAUCAUGCUGCCCAGGCUGGUCUCAAACUCCAGGGCUCGAGUGAUCCGCCAUCCUUGGCCUCCCAAAGUGCUGGAUUACAGACCUGAGCCACCACACCAGGCUGCCCCACACAUUGUAAAGUUUCGCUUCCCUCUAAUGUCAGAUUCCAAAGACAGCAGCCUUCAUGAGUCAGAAAGAAACAUCGGUCAUUUUGAAAUCAACAUCCAACUGAAGUGUAGAAAGGCCUCUGGAUUUUUGAAACGGCAACAACAGAUGAUGUAAUACAAAGACGCCCCCACCCCACUGCUUUCCCACUGCAUGCUUUACAUGACAUGGCACAGCUUCCACGCCAGCAGCUUCAAUCAUGUAAAGCGAAUGCAGUCCCAUCAAGACCACAGCAUUGGCUGAGCAGCUACUCCAUGCUGGGCACCGUCCUGGGCACUGGAAGUACAGCAGAGAACGAAACCAAGACCACACCCUCCAGAAGCCUGCAUUCCAGCAGGACAGACAGACUUCCAUACACAGAGCAGGAAAAUGCACAGCGUGUCAGAUGAUGAUGAUUACUAUGAGAAAAAUAAAGCAGGCAAAGAGAACAGGACUAUUUGGAUGAGGGUGGUGCAAAUUCAAAUAAUCAGACAGCCUUUGCUGGGAAGGUGAUAUCUGAGCAAAGAUUCGAGAAGGUGGGGAGAGCCCCGGAGCCUUCCCCGCAGAGCAGAGGAGGCCCGGGAAGCUCUGGACUCAUAGCGGUUCAGCACGGCCACGACACGGCCACUUCCAGACAGAGCCCCUGGCUGCUGGGUAGGGACCGCAGCACCUCAGAGAACCCUUUCUGGGGUCACUUCUGGCACCCUCUGCAAACCUCAAGGGGGAGCGUGAGGCUGGGGGCUGUCCAUCAGGGUCCAGGCACCUCCUGAAGGAACCUCUCAAAGCCAGCCGAUCACCGGCUCCAGACCCACGCUGUCAGACAUCUCUGUGGCCACCAGACCACUGCCACUCUCACGGGUGUGAUGACAUGGGACCUGCCUACUGGUAGUCUUCUGCCUUCGUGGAAUUCUGCAACUUCCUUCCUGCCUCGGCCACAGCAUGUCAGCCAAGCACCUGUCAGGGUCCCUCCCUGGCAGGACGAUGUUUAGAAGCUCAACACCUUGCUCCUGCCUCCUCUUCAGACCCAUCAGAACUUGCUACCAUGGGUGUGUUUUAAUAAAUAACUUCAUUUCUGCAGCAAAUAAAUAAAUAAAUAAAUGUAGUUGCAAUAUUGCCUUUAAAAGCACUUUUAAGCAUCAAUUGUGAAAUAAAAAGCCCGAGCAAAAGCCCUCUUUG